UAGGGAAUCUUCCGCAAUGGACGCAAGUCUGACGGAGCAACGCCGCGUGAGUGAAGAAGGAUUUCGGUUCGUAAAACUCUGUUGUUAGAGAAGAACAGCGCAUAGAGUAACUGUUAUGCGUGUGACGGUAUCUAACCAGAAAGCCACGGCUAACUACGUGCCAGCAGCCGCGGUAAUACGUAGGUGGCAAGCGUUGUCCGGAUUUAUUGGGCGUAAAGCGAGCGCAGGCGGUCAAUUAAGUCUGAUGUGAAAGCCCACGGCUCAACCGUGGAGGGUCAUUGGAAACUGGUUGACUUGAGUGCAGAAGAGGAGAGUGGAAUUCCAUGUGUAGCGGUGAAAUGCGUAGAUAUAUGGAGGAACACCAGUGGCGAAGGCGACUCUCUGGUCUGUAACUGACGCUGAGGUUCGAAAGCGUGGGUAGCAAACAGG
rnacentral:rRNA from 1 species